GAGAGAGAGUUGCGACACUUCCAUUGGACUCCGUUGUAGCGCCUACUUCCGGGGUAUGGAGCCUCGAAUAGUUCCAAACAACCAUUUUACGGCGGAGGAGACCGUUCAUUUCCAUUGCUGGCCGCUGAGUAACUUCUGAGGUAAAUUGAUUAAAUAGCUACCUCUUUUGAAUUGUCAACUGUCUAUAUUGUAUCAGAGGCCCUUUAUGAUGCAUAUAUUGGUAUUUAUUUGUAUAUGCACAGCGUAAUUAUAUAUAUUUUUAUCUUGGUAGACGACCGAUUGCCUGCUAGUUUGUUAGCUCGACUUCACCACCUGUGAAGGUAUCUCCGGGGGUACAUUGAUUAAAUAGCUACCUCUUUUGAAUUGUCAACUGUCUAUAUUGUAUCAGGACCUUUUAUGAUGCAUAUAUUGAUAUUUAUUUGUAUAUGGACAGCGUAAUUAUAUAUAUUUUUAUCUUGGUAGACGACCGAUUGCCUGCUAGUUUGUUAGCUCGACUGCACAAUGUGAUGGUAUCUACACCAACAAUUACAAAGUUCAGUACUAGUGAAUCUAACUUUUAUUUAGUUAGUUAUUUAUGUUGGAUUACUAGGAUAAUUUAGGUUGAUUUAAGGACGGGUUUUAUGAUGCGAUAGCUAGUAGAAAUAACAGUGUUUGUUUAAUUAUAUCCUGGAAAGGGUGAUGUUCAGCACAUGAAGCCCUACAGAUGCCGCCGAUUCAACAAUGCUGAUUAUGAUGGGCGGUCAAUUUAACCUUUGCCUUAUUAGGUCCUCCACAGUCGCCCCAUCAGUCCCUGGCAGUCUGGUCCCUGGAGCAGCUGGCCCUGGCAAAAGUUAUUCCUUCACUGUUGACCCCUGACUGACUGGCCCUCGGCACACAAAUCCCUGGAUCACCUGCCCCUGGCAAUGUAACCUCUUGAUUGCUCUCUCCGUCUCCUGUGAUGUCCUUUUCAACGCUCUUGAAAUCCACCUCAAUUUCUCCCUCAAUCUCUGUAAUAAUUACAAGGUAAUGUUGCUGUUAUAUGUAUUUUGCCUUUGCAUUUGCAACUACUGUCAUCUCCAAUGUAAUAAAAUGAAUUAAAGCAAAACAUUUCUGUAAUGUGAAUUAAAUCAUCUGCCACAAUCAGAAACCAAUACAAUUUAUAAAUGGAUCUACCGGCAAUUGUUAAUUGGGUAGAAAUGUGUCGAUUAUCUACAUUGUGUGCAAAUCCUCAGAGAA